rnacentral:rRNA from 1 species
AGGAUGAACGCUGGCGGUGUGCCUAAUACAUGCAAGUCGAACGAAGCCUUCGGGCUUAGUGGCGGACGGGUGAGUAACACGUUGGUACCUACCCCGAAGUGGGGAAUAACUGCCCGAAAGGGUGGCUAAUACCGCAUAAUACCGCAAGGUUAAAGCGAGUAAUCGCGCUUCGGGAGGGGCCUGCGUCCCAUUAGCUAGUUGGUAGGGUAAUGGCCUACCAAGGCGACGAUGGGUAGCUGGAUCGAGAGGUUGACCAGCCACACUGGGACUGAGAUACGGCCCAGACUCCUACGGGAGGCAGCAGUAAGGAAUCUUCCACAAUGGACGAAAGUCUGAUGGAGCAACGACCGCGUGCAGGAUGACGGCCUUCGGUUGUAAACUGCUUUUAUAUGGGAAGAUUAUGACGGUACCAUAUGAAUAAGGACCGGCUAACUACGCGCCAGCAGCCGC